rnacentral:rRNA from 1 species
GAUGAACGCUGGCGGCGUGCCUAAUACAUGCAAGUCGAGCGAACGGACGAGAAGCUUGCUUCUCUGAUGUUAGCGGCGGACGGGUGAGUAACACGUGGAUAACCUACCUAUAAGACUGGGAUAACUUCGGGAAACCGGAGCUAAUACCGGAUAAUAUUUUGAACCGCAUGGUUCAAAAGUGAAAGACGGUCUUGCUGUCACUUAUAGAUGGAUCCGCGCUGCAUUAGCUAGUUGGUAAGGUAACGGCUUACCAAGGCAACGAUGCAUAGCGACCUGAGAGGGUGAUCGGCCACACUGGAACUGAGACACGGUCCAGACUCCUACGGGAGGCAGCAGUAGGGAAUCUUCCGCAAUGGGAGAAAGCCUGACGGAGCAACGCCGCGUGAGUGAUGAAGGUCUUCGGAUCGUAAAACUCUGUUAUUAGGGAAGAACAUAUGUGUAAGUAACUGUGCACAUCUUGACGGUACCUAAUCAGAAAGCCACGGCUAACUACGUG